rnacentral:rRNA from 1 species
UACGGAGGGUGCAAGCGUUAUCCGGAUUCACUGGGUUUAAAGGGAGCGUAGGUGGGCUGGUAAGUCAGUGGUGAAAUCCCCGAGCUUAACUUGGGAACUGCCAUUGAUACUAUUAGUCUUGAAUAUUGUGGAGGUCAGCGGAAUAUGUCAUGUAGCGGUGAAAUGCUUAGAGAUGACAUAGAACACCAAUUGCGAAGGCAGCUGGCUACACAUAUAUUGACACUGAGGCUCGAAAGCGUGGGGAUCAAACAGGAUUAGAAACCCCCGUAGUCC